GGGUUGUGAGGUUAAGCGACUAAGCGUACACGGUGGAUGCCCUGGCAGUCAGAGGCGAUGAAGGACGUGCUAAUCUGCGAAAAGCGUCGGUAAGGUGAUAUGAACCGUUAUAACCGGCGAUGUCCGAAUGGGGAAACCCAGUGUGAUUCGUCACACUAUCGUUAACUGAAUACAUAGGUUAACGAGGCGAACCGGGGGAACUGAAACAUCUAAGUACCCCGAGGAAAAGAAAUCAACCGAGAUUCCCCCAGUAGCGGCGAGCGAACGGGGAGCAGCCCAGAGUCUGAAUCAGCUUGUGUGUUAGUGGAACGGUCUGGAAAGUCCGACGGUACAGGGUGAUAGUCCCGUACACCAAAAUGCACAGGCUGUGAACUCGAAGAGUAGGGCGGGACACGUGGUAUCCUGUCUGAAUAUGGGGGGACCAUCCUCCAAGGCUAAAUACUCCUGACUGACCGAUAGUGAACCAGUACCGUGAGGGAAAGGCGAAAAGAACCCCGGCGAGGGGAGUGAAAAAGAACCUGAAACCGUGUACGUACAAGCAGUGGGAGCACCUUCGGGUGUGACUGCGUACCUUUUGUAUAAUGGGUCAGCGACUUAUAUUCUGUAGCAAGGUUAACCGUAUAGGGGAGCCGCAGGGAAACCGAGUCUUAACUGGGCGUUAAGUUGCAGGGUAUAGACCCGAAACCCGGUGAUCUAGCCAUGGGCAGGUUGAAGGUUGGGUAACACUAACUGGAGGACCGAACCGACUAAUGUUGAAAAAUUAGCGGAUGACUUGUGGCUGGGGGUGAAAGGCCAAUCAAACCGGGAGAUAGCUGGUUCUCCCCGAAAGCUAUUUAGGUAGCGCCUCGUGAACUCAUCUUCGGGGGUAGAGCACUGUUUCGGCUAGGGGGUCAUCCCGACUUACCAACCCGAUGCAAACUACGAAUACCGAAGAAUGUUAUCACGGGAGACACACGGCGGGUGCUAACGUCCGUCGUGAAGAGGGAAACAACCCAGACCGCCAGCUAAGGUCCCAAAGUCAUGGUUAAGUGGGAAACGAUGUGGGAAGGCACAGACAGCCAGGAUGUUGGCUUAGAAGCAGCCAUCAUUUAAAGAAAGCGUAAUAGCUCACUGGUCGAGUCGGCCUGCGCGGAAGAUGUAACGGGGCUAAACCAUGCACCGAAGCUGCGGCAGCGACACUAUGUGUUGUUGGGUAGGGGAGCGUUCUGUAAGCCUGCGAAGGUGACCUGUGAGGGUUGCUGGAGGUAUCAGAAGUGCGAAUGCUGACAUAAGUAACGAUAAAGCGGGUGAAAAGCCCGCUCGCCGGAAGACCAAGGGUUCCUGUCCAACGUUAAUCGGGGCAGGGUGAGUCGACCCCUAAGGCGAGGCCGAAAGGCGUAGUCGAUGGGAAACAGGUUAAUAUUCCUGUACUUGGUGUUACUGCGAAGGGGGGACGGAGAAGGCUAUGUUAGCCGGGCGACGGUUGUCCCGGUUUAAGCAUGUAGGCUGGUUAUCCAGGCAAAUCCGGAUAAUCAAGGCUGAGGUGUGAUGACGAGGCACUACGGUGCUGAAGUAACAAAUGCCCUGCUUCCAGGAAAAGCCUCUAAGCAUCAGGUAACAUCAAAUCGUACCCCAAACCGACACAGGUGGUCAGGUAGAGAAUACCAAGGCGCUUGAGAGAACUCGGGUGAAGGAACUAGGCAAAAUGGUGCCGUAACUUCGGGAGAAGGCACGCUGGUGUGUAGGUGAAGUCCCUGCGGAUGGAGCUGAGACCAGUCGAAGAUACCAGCUGGCUGCAACUGUUUAUUAAAAACACAGCACUGUGCAAACACGAAAGUGGACGUAUACGGUGUGACGCCUGCCCGGUGCCGGAAGGUUAAUUGAUGGGGUUAUCCGUAAGGAGAAGCUCUUGAUCGAAGCCCCGGUAAACGGCGGCCGUAACUAUAACGGUCCUAAGGUAGCGAAAUUCCUUGUCGGGUAAGUUCCGACCUGCACGAAUGGCGUAAUGAUGGCCAGGCUGUCUCCACCCGAGACUCAGUGAAAUUGAACUCGCUGUGAAGAUGCAGUGUACCCGCGGCAAGACGGAAAGACCCCGUGAACCUUUACUAUAGCUUGACACUGAACAUUGAGCCUUGAUGUGUAGGAUAGGUGGGAGGCUUUGAAGCGUGGACGCCAGUCUGCGUGGAGCCAACCUUGAAAUACCACCCUUUAAUGUUUGAUGUUCUAACGUUGGCCCCUGACCGGGGUUGCGGACAGUGUCUGGUGGGUAGUUUGACUGGGGCGGUCUCCUCCCAAAGCGUAACGGAGGAGCACGAAGGUUAGCUAAUCCUGGUCGGACAUCAGGAGGUUAGUGCAAUGGCAUAAGCUAGCUUGACUGCGAGCGUGACGGCGCGAGCAGGUGCGAAAGCAGGUCAUAGUGAUCCGGUGGUUCUGAAUGGAAGGGCCAUCGCUCAACGGAUAAAAGGUACUCCGGGGAUAACAGGCUGAUACCGCCCAAGAGUUCAUAUCGACGGCGGUGUUUGGCACCUCGAUGUCGGCUCAUCACAUCCUGGGGCUGAAGUAGGUCCCAAGGGUAUGGCUGUUCGCCAUUUAAAGUGGUACGCGAGCUGGGUUUAGAACGUCGUGAGACAGUUCGGUCCCUAUCUGCCGUGGGCGCUGGAGAAUUGAGGGGGGCUGCUCCUAGUACGAGAGGACCGGAGUGGACGCAUCACUGGUGUUCGGGUUGUCAUGCCAAUGGCACUGCCCGGUAGCUAAAUGCGGAAGAGAUAAGUGCUGAAAGCAUCUAAGCACGAAACUUGCCCCGAGAUGAGUUCUCCCUGAGACUUUAAGUCUCCUGAAGGAACGUUGAAGACGACGACGUUGAUAGGCCGGGUGUGUAAGCGCAGCGAUGCGUUGAGCUAACCGGUACUAAUGAACCGUGAGGCUUAACCUUACAACGCCGAAG
rnacentral:rRNA from 2 species